rnacentral:rRNA from 1 species
UACGGGGGGGGCAAGCGUUGUUCGGAAUUACUGGGCGUAAAGGGCGCGUAGGCGGCCUGCUAAGUCGGAUGUGAAAUCCCUCGGCUCAACCGAGGAACUGCAUCCGAUACUGGCGGGCUUGAAUCCGGGAGAGGGAUGUGGAAUUCCUGGUGUAGCGGUGAAAUGCGCAGAUAUCAGGAGGAACACCGGUGGCGAAGGCGGGUCUCUGGGCAACAACUGACGCUGAGGAGCGAAAGCGUGGGGAGCGAACAGG